GAUGUGGUUAAUGAUGCAGAUUCUUUUUUCCCCGUCUUAUCGACUAUGGUGAAAACCAACUUGAGAAAUAAGCCAAUGUUGUCUGAAACCACAUC